AGACCAGCACCUCCCACAACGCAGGGCCCCAAAGCUGGACAGGACGUGUGCUUGUGCACGCACAGGCCUGGCCUGCGCUAGUCUGUCAAGGUCAGAGUGUAGAUGAGGCCUGAGAGGAGCCCCAGAGCACAGCCCGGCUUUGCUGCCCUGAGCCCCUCAAUAGUCCUGUCCCCGGAUGCAGAACAGUGACCACAAAGAAGUUGCUGGUCCCAGAGCCAGGAGCACCUGCCUCGGCACAUCCUGUCUACCUGCCCCAGGUGGGCUCUGACAACCCCCAAUGACAGAUGAGGAAACUGAGGCUCCGCAGUAAAGGGGAACCUACUGAACUGCUCCAACACUGCUGGACCAGAUUUUCAGUGACCUCUCAGCCUCACGGCCUGAGCCAGCCAGCCCAGACACCCCGACGCAGCUAGCGGGGAGCCUGACGCCUUCCCGCCUCAGCACCCUCAGCGGAGAGUCUGCUGGCCCAGGAAGCCCCAGCCAGCCCCCCACGGAGCUCGGGGAGCUUUCAGGAUGGAGGCAGAUGGGGGGUCCUUGACCCCCCUGGGUGCCGCUGCUGCCCAGGGGGUGCUGGACACUGGGCCUGGCUGCUCCUCCCUGGAGCUGUGCGACACAGCCCCGGGGAAGUUCCGAGCGCUGCCCCUCGGGGACCCUGCCAGCCAGACUGAUGCAGGCUCCAGCCCGCCAGACACGGGCCCUGCGGGGGAGCUGAGCAACAGCACUAAGAUCCCCAACCGGGACAGCGGGAUCGACAGCCCACCCUGCAGCGUGGCCGGCGAGCACUUCCCCUGUGAGGAGGGCAGUGAGGCGGCCUCCCACCCCCCGGUCCCGGGGCUGCACCCAGAGACGGCCCCGGAUGGCAAGGCCCCACUGGAGGAGGCUGAGAGCGACGUGGGCGAGGGCAGUGUCGAGGAGCCUGACCCCAAGGACGGCCCCCCGAGGGCCAACACGGACCCGGCCAAGUGCUCUGAGCCCCAGAAGCUGCUUCACAUUGCUCAGGAGCUCCUGCACACCGAGGAGACCUACGUGAGGCGGCUGCACCUGCUGGACCAGGUUUUCUGCACCCGGCUGACGGAAGCGGGGAUCCCUCCAGAAGUCACUACAGGGAUCUUCUCUAACAUCUCCUCCAUCUAUUGCUUCCACGGGCAGUUCCUCCUGCCUGAGCUGCAGACACGGAUCACGGAGGAGUGGGACUCAAACCCCCGGCUUGGGGACAUCCUGCAGAAGCUGGCCCCAUUCCUCAAGAUGUAUGGCGAGUACAUCAAGAACUUCGACCGGGCCAUGGAGCUGGUGAGCACCUGGACCCAGCGCUCACUGCUGUUCAAAGACAUCGUCCACAGCAUCCAGAAGGAGGAGGUGUGCGGGAACCUGACGCUGCAGCACCACAUGCUGGAGCCCGUGCAGAGGAUCCCCCGCUACGAGCUGCUGCUCAAGGACUAUCUGAAGAGGCUCCCAGGGGACGCCCCCGACCGCAAGGAUGCAGAGAGGUCCUUGGAGCUCAUCUCCACGGCUGCCAACCACUCCAACGCCGCCAUUCGGAAAAUGGAGAAGAUGCACAAGCUCUUGGAAGUGUAUGAGCGCCUGGGGGGUGAGGAAGACAUCGUCAACCCGGCCAACGAGCUGAUCAAGGAGGGCCAGAUCCAGAAGCUGUCCGCCAAGAACGGCACCGCCCAGGACCGCCACCUCUUCCUGUUCAACAGCAUGAUCCUUUACUGUGUGCCCAAACUGCGGCUCAUGGGCCAGAAGUUCAGUGUCCGGGAGAAGAUGGACAUUUCAGGCCUCCAGGUGCAGGAUGUCGUCAAGCCAAAUGCAGUGCACACAUUCAUCAUCACGGGGAAGAGAAGGUCCCUGGAGCUGCUGACCCGGACAGAAGAGGAGAAGAAAGAAUGGAUUCAGGUCAUUGAGGCCACCAUCGAGAAGCACAAGCAGAACAGCCAGACCUUCAAGGCCUUCAGCGGCUCCGGCGGCCAGGAUGAGGACCCCUCCCUCACUCCAGACCCAGCGACGCUGAGCGCCAGCUCCGGGGAGCCCGCCGCUGCCGAUGGUGGAGGGGGUGCAGCGCUCGAGCCCAGGAGAGCGUCCUCUAAGACCAGGCGUGACAAGGAGAAGCCGGGCUGCAGGAGCUGCGGCGAGACCUUCAACUCCAUCACCAAGAGGAAGCACCACUGCAAGCUGUGCGGGGCUGUCAUCUGUGGGAAGUGCUCUGAGUUCAAGGCCGAGAACGGCAGGCAGAGCCGUGUCUGCCGACAGUGUUUCCUGACUCAGCCGGUGGCCGCCGCGAGCCCCAGCCCUGAGGAGCCUGUGGAGCCCAAGCAGGGCAUGGAGAAGCCGGCCACUGCGGACCCCCUGCCCAGCCUGUUCUGCGGCCCCCUGCGGGUGUCAGACUGCGGCUCAGCCUGGAGCGAGGUGUGGGCUGCCAUCCCCGCGUCGGAUCCCCUGGAGCUGGUGCUGCACCCACAGGGAGGCAGCCAGGACGGCCAGCCACUCCGCGCCAUCCCCCUCUCCGGCUGCAUGGUGAGCGUGCUGGACCCCGCGGAGAAGCCAGAGGCUGGGCACGUGUGGCGGUUGCACCAGGCCCAGCGGUCCUUGUACCUGAGCACCUCGUCCGAAGAGCUGCAGCAGCAGUGGCUGGAAGCCCUGAGCACAGCCGCCCUUGGGGACUUGGCCCGGGCCAGCCGGGGAGCCCUGCAACCCCAGACCCCGUGAGCUGAGUCUCGGCUGUGUCUCCAGCUCUGCCGCCACCACGGCAGGGCCUGUGCUCACCUGGGAGAUGGCGUUGGAGGCCACGUGCUUGCGUGAAAGGCACUGGGACUGCUGAGGAGCUGACAGGUCACAGGGCACUUGUCCCUGGAGGGUCCCUCUGCUUCAGAGAGGAGGAAACUGAGGCCCAGAGACGGGUGGCCAACUGCCCAGGGUCACCCAGCACACUCCCAAGAAGUGCCUGGCCUCUGCCCCAGCCCCAGCAGAGUGGCCUGGAGUGGGGCGUGGGCGAGUGUCGUGAGUGGCCCUGCGGGGGCACUCAGCUCUUAAGGGCAAGAGAAGCAUCCUGGGCGGUGCCCGGGGACACUUGGUAAACGGCUACAGUCAUGCUGGCCCUCCACACUGCUGCCUGCCUGUCCACACUGUCUACACUGUCUGCACCGUGUGAGCUGGAUGGAACUGGCCCUGGGACUCCACCCCACCUCCUCCAUCCCAUGCGGAGCCGCCCCUGGAGGAGGGAGCCGUAGGCCUGGGCAAUCCAUACGGGGCUCGAGGUUCCUGAAUAACCUCUCUGCGAAACUGGACGGGAGGCCCACCCUGGGUCGUGUAGUGCCUGUCUCCCCUGGUGGGCGGCGGGCAGCGGGCGGCAGGUGGUGCUUGUCUGCAUAAAUAAAUGCUGGCAGCCAGCAAGUGGGCACAGCCUCAGGCCAUCACCCCCGGGUCCCGCUGGUGGUCGAGUUGGGAUACAAGAGUGACAGACAGGCACAGCCGGCAGUGGGGCCCUGGACCCCAACCCAGGCUUGCAGCGUGCAAGUCCUACCCCGUGGGGGCCCCAGGACUUAGGGGCAUCGGACAGCUGGGCCUCGGGCCAGGUGCUAUGCCUGCCAGCCUGCUCUAUGGAUGGGCAUGUGCCAUGUGGCAGGUGGGGUCAGGCCCAGAGACGCUGUCACAAAGUCUUAGGAAGGUCGGGGUCAGGGUGGGGGAUGCUGUUUGCGCCAGAGCCACAAGGGCCUUGGGAGAGAGCAGAGGGAUUAGGGACUGAUGACCAAGGACUGUCCAUCCCUCGGGACCCCCAUCCUUCUAACAUCCACACAGCACCCUGUGGGGACACCUGUCACUGCCCAGCUGUGGGCAGACUUGCAGGGCACCAGCGUGGGAGCCAGAACUGGGCGACCAGUCACGGGCGAAGUUGGGGCAGGGCCCAGGUGAGGUGGGCGGGGUAUAGGUGAGCUUAUGCAGGAGCCAGUGCCACCCCCACCCCCAUGCAUUCACAAACCGGCCUGUGUCUGGAUGCUGCCUCAGUAGGAUACCUGCUGUUGACCUGGGCCCCUACCAUCUGAGAGCUCACCACCUUGCAGUGGGUGUUCUGGCUCCAGUUCACACCAGGAAACAGGCUCAUGAGGCAAAGUGACUUGCCCAGUGGGAGGGGAGGCUGCCCUUUCCACGGCUCAGGGCCCUGGCGGGGUUCCUGCCCCAUGCCCACGGGGCCUGGGCAGGGCCAGCAGGUGGCUGAGGCAGUGAAGGCACCUGGGGUCCAGCUGGCCCCUCCUCCUGCCCCUUCCAUCCGUGAGCUCUGCUCUCUCUGCCUCACAUCUUGACUGAGUGCCCACUACCUACAGGGGGACGGCUCCUUGGCGCUGCCUCUGUCCCCUAAUACUCCAGUAUCACCACAACCCCAGGAUGUUCCCAUUUGACAGCUGAAGAAACUGAGUCACAGAGAGGAGGCCCCCAAGUCCCACAACUCCAGACUGAGCAGGCAGCUGGAAUUGACUCUCUGGGCAUGGCAUCACUCGGCUGGGGUCUGCGGGGAGUGUCCGGGCCAGCCUCGAAGGUGGAGGCAGGAGUGUCCCCAGGGGCUGUGACUGCAUCAGGACCAGGAAAAAUGCCCGUGCUGCCAACUUCGAUCGGUGCUGGGCCCUGCGGACGCAGAGGGAAGGAAAUGCCCCAUGUGGAGCCCCAUUCCCAUGUGGAGACACUGAGAACGGAACCUGGUUUUGGAGCAACAGAGGCAGGAAGAGGAGUGGGGCACGGCAGGGGCAGGGGGUCCCUGGGAGCCCCCCAGGGGAGGGGUGGCAGGAAGAGCCCCCAGGCUGAGAGCACGGCCACCAAGGCCCGCAGGGGCCAGUGGGGCUCAUUGGGGAGCCGGGGAGGCGGGGCUGGUCGUGGGGCCUCCACAGGCCUCCUCUGGCGCUGCUCUGGGAGGCGGGAGCCACGGGGCAGGCUUGGGGGUCUUAACAUCCCGCUGGACGCAAUGGAAUCGUAGGGGUCGAGAUGGAGGCAUGGCCUUGCAUCCCCAGCGGGUCUUGACGCAGACCCCUGCGAUGGGCACGCCAGAGGCCGGUGGCCCCGGCAACGUGAAGCCUCCACCACUGUCCCCAGGCAGGCACGGACCCGUGUACCCAGCUUUCCGGAGGUGAAAGAGGUCAGAUGUUCUCGUGCAAUAUCCUGGUAAAUGUUAGUAACCACUCUGGAGUCUGAAGUCACCCCAAGGCAGGUCUGCCCCAGGGACCCCUUCUGCUCCCUCUGGGCACCCCGGGGAGGGCACUGGGAAGCAGGCUGCCCAUCCCGGGGCCUCCACACCACGUGUCUGGGGGCUCUUUGGGCCUGGGCUCCUUCCCACCCCCACACUGCCCACCCCGUCCGCCGUCAUCCUGCCUGGAAGCCUGGAGCCUGGGCACGCUCUACUGCCCAUCCACAGAGGAUAGAGGCCAGAUGCUCGCUGGCCUUCAGCCUCUCCGCUGUCCUCCCGCCCCAUCCUGUGCCUCCUCCUCACCAAGUCCAGCCCCCACCCUACAGGCACAGGAGGCCAUCCCUUGGACAGGAGGAGAAAGGAGGCCAGUGGGCUGGGCGGGAGGUGGCCCCGGGGGUCUCUGGGGUCCUGAAGAACGCCGGAUGGGGCAGGACAGGGUGUGAGAUGCCCAAUCGCUGCAGGAGUCCAGGGCCUGAGCCAGGGUCUUUUGUGCCCCAGAGACUGCUGCUGGCCCAGCCUCCUGGCUGGGGUUCCUGGUUCCAGGCGUAGGGGCUGCAGUUGAGCGUGGUGCGUACCUGAGCAGCAACGUGCCCACAGGAACAAGGGCAGAAGAGAAAAGAGAAACGGGAGGCCAGCGAACGACACUCUGAGGGGCUCCAAGUGGUCCCAAGGCAGCCAGGCUGCUCUCUCUCAUGCCUCCUCUCUCUCUGCUCUGCUCCCCCAUUUAUGAGGGAGGAAACUGGAGGCCAUAGGAGCUGGGUGGGCCUGGGGCAGACUGUGGGGAGCAGCCAGGUGUCCACCCCACAUUCUGCACAUUCCGUCCUGGAAAGCCAGCCUCCCGUAGCGUCUGGUCACAGGGCCCUCCUGGGCUGGCCCCACUGACCCUAUGGACUCUGGGCUGGGUGCCCUGCUCACAGGUGUGAAGCUCUGAUGGAGGCCUGAUGCCCCAGAAAGGCAUGUUCCACAGCUCCACGGCCUG